AUUGAACGCUGGCGGAAUGCUUUACACAUGCAAGUCGAACGGUAGAGGGGGCAACCCCUUGAGAGUGGCGAACGGGUGAGUAAUAUAUCGGAACGUGCCCAGUCGUGGGGAUAACGUAGCGAAAGUUACGCUAAUACCGCAUACGAUCUAAGGAUGAAAGCGGGGGAUCGCAAGACCUCGCGCGAUUGGAGCGGCCGAUAUCAGAUUAGGUAGUUGGUGAGGUAAAGGCUCACCAAGCCGACGAUCUGUAGCUGGUCUGAGAGGACGACCAGCCACACUGGGACUGAGACACGGCCCAGACUCCUACGGGAGGCAGCAGUGGGGAAUUUUGGACAAUGGGCGCAAGCCUGAUCCAGCAAUGCCGCGUGCAGGAUGAAGGCCUCGG
rnacentral:rRNA from 1 species